rnacentral:rRNA from 1 species
CAGUCGCCGCGGGAAUACGUAGGUGGCAAGCGCUGUCCGGAAUUAUUGGGCGUAAAGGGCUCGCAGGCGGUUCCUUAAGUCUGAUGUGAAAGCCCCCGGCUCAACCGGGGAGGGUCAUUGGAAACUGGGAAACUUGAGUGCAGAAGAGGAGAGUGGAAUUCCACGUGUAGCGGUGAAAUGCGUAGAGAUGUGGAGGAACACCAGCGGCGAAGGCGACUCUCUGGUCUGUAACUGACGCUGAGGAGCGAAAGCGUGGGGAGCGAACAGGAUUAGAUACCCCUGUAGUCCCUGUCUCUUAUAC